CGCAGGAUAGAGUAACUGGAAACUCAUCAGGCUCAUAAUCUGAAGAUUGUAGGUUCAAAUCCUACUCCUGCAU
rnacentral:tRNA from 1 species